AUUGAACGCUGGCGGCAUGCCUAACACAUGCAAGUCGAACGGAGGUAGGGGCAACUCUACUUCAGUGGCGGACGAGUGAGGAAUGCGUCGGAAUCUACCCUAUGGUGGGGGAUAACACAGGGAAACUUGUGCUAAUACCGCAUAAUGUCGAGAGACCAAAGCAGGGGACCGGCAAGGCCUUGCGCGAUAGGAUGAGCCGACGCCCGAUUAGCUAGUUGGUAGGGUAAAGGCCUACCAAGGCGACGAUCGGUAGCUGGUCUGAGAGGAUGAUCAGCCACACUGGGACUGAGACACGGCCCAGACUCCUACGGGAGGCAGCAGUGGGGAAGUAUUGGACAAUGGGCGGCAAGCCUGAUCCAGCAAUGCCGCGUGUGUGAAGAAGGCCUGCGGGGUUGUAAAAGCACUUUCAGUGGGGAAGAACAGGUUCGGGUCAAUACCCCGGAGCCUGACGUUACCCACAGAAGAAGCACCGGCUAACUCCGUGCCAGCAGCCG
rnacentral:rRNA from 1 species